AAUCAACACUCCACUCAGACAAUGCCCAGACCUCCAGAAACCAUGUGUCAAGCUCGGAUUGCCUUAGACAGGUGCAAUUUAAGAACAGCUUUCAUCCUCUUUUCUCUCAUAUUGUCACACUAUGUGUUCUGACUUCUGGCUCCUUUCCUCACAAGAAGCUCACCCAGCUGGAACUCUUAUGGGACCUUGGCACCAGAGACCACAAAUUCCUCUUUGAAGUUUUCUAACAGCAACAAUGGUAUUUCUGACUUGGCUUUCUUGUAUUUCUCUCACGUUAACAAAAUUGGUUCAGCAUCUACCAUGGGCUACAUGCUGAGCUACAGAGUUUCGCUCUGUCGCCCAGGCUGGAGUGCAGUGGCGCGCGAUCUCGGUUCACUGCAAGCUCCACCUCCCGGGUUCACGCCAUUCUCCUGCCUCAGCCUCCUGAGUAGCUGGGACUACAGGCGCCCGCCACCACACCCAGGAAUCCAACUUGCUGUUUGCUAUCACAUGUGCUAUACAUGCUGUUGAUGAAACUGCUAAAGGGGCUGAAUGUGACUGACGUCUUUGGAAGGAUGAGACUUAGCGUGCCUGUACAGUUGUGUCCAAAUGCUGUCCUCAUCUCCCAAUGAAAAGGGUUUUUCCUUAAGCCUCACAACAAUUUACAGCAUUGCCAGCAGCAUUCAGUACAUUCAGAACAGGAUAAUUUCACCCGCAGCUGAACUAGGGCCAUGCCUGGGACAGACAGAGAAUGGCCUUCCAGCAGACAUGCCAAGAAGCAAGCCAGGGUCAGUGAGUGAAGAGGAGGGCAGGCCCAUUUGAAGCAACACAGUUUAUAUACAUGAAAAGAAAGAAGGAGAGAAGGAAGAAAGGAGGGCGGAAGGAAAGGAAGAAGGGAGAGAAGAAGAGAAGAAAGAAGCAGAGAAAGGAAGAGAAAAGAAAUUACGGCCAGUGCGGUGGCUCACGCCUGUAAUCCUAGCACUUUGGGAGGCCUAAGCGGGCUGAUCACCUGAGGUCAGGAGUUCGUAAGCCAGCCUGGCCAACAUGGUGAAACCCUAUCUCUACUAAAAAUACAAAAAUCAGCAGGGCAUGGUGGUGCAUGCCUGUAAUCCCAGCUACCUGGGAGGCUGAGGUAGGAGAAUCGCUGGAACCCGAGAGGCGGAGGCUGCAGUGAGUUGAGAUCAUGUCACUGCACUCCAGGCUGGGCAACAGAGUGAGACUCUGUCUCAGAAAAAAAAAAAA
rnacentral:sRNA from 1 species